CCAAGCUCUGUAACUUGCCGGCUCAACACUCCCCCACCCCAAAUUUGGGUCCUGAGAUGAAAUGCAAGAAGCCAGGUUUAAGAAGACAUCCUACUCUAUGGGACCUGGGCAUCUUGCCGGUAAAUCUUAUGCAAAACCUCCCCAAAGCUAGACCCCUGAAAGGCAACAUUGUCAGUGGAAGAACAAAAACAAAAUCUGACCUACAGAAGGAAAAGGGAACAGGAAGAUGGAGGAGAAGUUGAAGUGAUUGGACGUGAGACUGACUCAACCCACUAUUAAUGGCUUUGAAGAUGGAAGGGAAUGAAGAGCCAAGGAAUGUGGAAAACCUCUAGAAGCUGGAAAAGGCAAAGAAAUGGAUUCUCCUACAGUCUCCCCU